GGUAUGGUGGUUGAAUGUUGCAAGAUCACUGUAUAAAUUGGCACUAAUCUUAUGAAACAGCCGUGUUGUAUAAAAUAUAAUCUGAAAUAUAUCCAUAUCUGUCCUAGCUUUUUGUUCCCCAAAUAAUUGGAAAUCUGGAAUAAGUUCAUAUGAGACUGGAAAUACGUAAUUCAGUAGGUGGAAAAUCAUAAACCCUUUCUUCUUUGAAACAAUUUAUUACUUAUCCAGUGAAGACCAUAUAGAAGUUGAUGAUGGUUCAAAGCCAAUUGUUGGCUUUUUUGCUUUUAAAGCUCAUCCAGGACCAACUUUCAUGUCUCAAAUUUUUUUUGAUCUCUUUGUACCUGAUUUAGAUUCUCAACCAACCCUCCUUCCCUUUUCUUUUCCUGCCUUUGCUUAGUUUAUUUAUAAAAGUAUGAAAUUUGUCAAUCCAGAGUCAUGUCCAGAAUCUGUUAGU
rnacentral:misc_RNA from 1 species